GAUGAACGCUGGCGGCGUGCCUAAUACAUGCAAGUCGAGCGAACAGACGAGGAGCUUGCUCCUCUGACGUUAGCGGCGGACGGGUGAGUAACACGUGGAUAACCUACCUAUAAGACUGGGAUAACUUCGGGAAACCGGAGCUAAUACCGGAUAAUAUAUUGAACCGCAUGGUUCAAUAGUGAAAGACGGUUUUGCUGUCACUUAUAGAUGGAUCCGCGCCGCAUUAGCUAGUUGGUAAGGUAACGGCUUACCAAGGCAACGAUGCGUAGCCGACCUGAGAGGGUGAUCGGCCACACUGGAACUGAGACACGGUCCAGACUCCUACGAGAGGCAGCGGUAGGGAAUCAGCGGCAAUGGGCGAAAGCCUGACGGAGCAACGCCGAGUGAGUGAUGAAGGUCUUCGGAUCGUAAAACUCUGUUAUGAGGGAAGAACAAAUGUGUAAGUAACUAUGCACGUCUUGACGGUACCUAAUCAGAAAGCCACGGCUAACUACGUG
rnacentral:rRNA from 1 species